rnacentral:rRNA from 1 species
UGAGGAAUAUUGGUCAAUGGGCGAGAGCCUGAACCAGCCAAGUCGCGUGAAGGAAGACAGUCUUAAGGAUUGUAAACUUCUUUUAUACGGGAAUAACGGGCGAUACGAGUAUUGCAUUGAAUGUACCGUAAGAAUAAGCAUCGGCUAACUCCGUGCCAGCAGCCGCGGUAAUACGGAGGAUGCGAGCGUUAUCCGGAUUUAUUGGGUUUAAAGGGUGCGUAGGUUGUUCGGUAAGUCAGCGGUGAAACCUGAGCGCUCAACGUUCAGCCUGCCGUUGAAACUGCCGGGCUUGAGUUCAGUGGCGGCAGGCGGAAUUCGUGGUGUAGCGGUGAAAUGCAUAGAUAUCACGAGGAACUCCGAUUGCGAAGGCAGCUUGCCAUACUGCGACUGACACUGAAGCACGAAGGCGUGGGUAUCAAACAGG